GGUAGUCCACGCCCUAAACGAUGUCUACUAGUUGUUGGGUCUUAAUUGACUUAGUAACGCAGCUAACGCGUGAAGUAGACCGCCUGGGGAGUACGGUCGCAAGAUUAAAACUCAAAGGAAUUGACGGGGGCCCGCACAAGCAGCGGAGCGUGUGGUUUAAUUCGAUGAUACGCGAAGAACCUUACCCAGGUUUGACAUGCAUGUGGUACAGAGGUGAAAGCCGACGGACCUUUCGGGGAGCAUGCACAGAUGCUGCAUGGCUGUCGUUAGCUCGUGUCGUGAGAUGUUGGGUUAAG
rnacentral:rRNA from 1 species